UCCCCGUUACCGGGGCAGUCUGGCUAGACAAUUCAACUAACCAUAAGGGUUGCGCUCGUUAAUGGACUUAACCAAACAUCUCACGACACGAGCUGACGACGGCCAUGCAUCACCUGUCACUGGAUUCCCGAAGGCACAGUCUCCUUUCGGAGACCUUCCCAGGAUGUCAAACCUUGGUAAGGUUCUACGUUUAUCGUCGAAUUAAACAACACGCUCCACCGCUUGUGCGGGUCCCCGUCAAUUCCUUUGAGUUUUAGUCUUGCGACCGUACUCCCCAGGCGGCUUGCUUAACGCGUUAGCUUCGCUACUACCAGGGUCGAUACUGAUAACAGCUAGCAAGCAUCGUUUACGGCGUGGACUA
rnacentral:misc_RNA from 1 species